ACCUUAUCGAGAGUGGUGGAGGGACUGGCCCUGUGAAACCACGGCAACCUACAUAAAUAAUCUUUAUGUGAAGGUGCCAAAUCCUGCAGAAAUAAUUCUGAGAGAUAAGGA
rnacentral:ncRNA from 2 species